AACGAUUCUGGCACAUGAGUUAAGUGUUACACAAAACAGACGUGCGCACUCAAAAUCAAAGGCGCCUCUCGUUCCUGUGAGAAGGCUCAGGCAGCGGCAGGAGAACGGGGCGCGUGAAGGUCCCGGGGGCGUCCACAGCAGGAAAAGCUCAGCACAGAUUGGACACAGGGGGAGGCAGCCCGGCCGCCCAUAACUCAGAGGUAGAAGUGGCGGGCUGAUCUUCGCGCCGCCUGUUUCCUGUGUGCUCCGCCUCUGAUCUCCGGUGCUUGCCUAAUUGCUGCUGACUGGCUCUGGGCUCGGGGGUCUGCGAAAUGUGUCAUCGGAUUCUUGUGAGGAGAACACUAAUGCUGAGCCCAAGACACACCACUGAAUACAUGUAUUUGCAGAUCAAGAUCGGGAGGCUCGAGGCAGCAGGGUGCAGAUGCGCAGAGCAGUGACCUGCACACACGUCUAGGCUUUCUUACCCCAAGAAGUGCGAACUCACAGCCCAGUAUCAGGCAAAAAAUUCCUCCUAGCUGUUGGCAGCAUCUGACUGAGGUAACGAGAACUUUCCCAGCAGGCGGAGCACACAGCCUCCCAUUCCUGGCUUCUCGUCCGCACCCGUGUUCACAUCUUCACAUCCUGACAGACUGAAGACCUACGUGGGACCUGUGAGAUGCAGAGUCCGGAGGAGGGAGAUCUGCAACCUCCAGCAACAGCUGCAGAUGCCGAGCUUUCAGAACUGCAGCUGGCCUGGCCUGGGAGAGGGCUCCCCCAGGGCCACUAGAGGGGAAGGCAGGGCUUCCUUUGGGGCAAACCAUCCCCCAUGUGGCAGGCAGGCAGGCAGGCAGGUGUGAAGCUCAGGUUGAUUUGGUAAAUGAUGAAAACCUGCCUGUCUUUGAGGAAAAUAAAAAAAUAGGCUGGAUCUAGAGGAGAAGCAGGUUGAGCGCAAAUGUGAAUGAAAUGCAAGUAACACUACAGACGUAGAGUAAGAUUAGUAAUCACCAGACAAAGAAAAGUGCAUGGUACCAGGAAAGCUCAUCUAACACAAGGACCAACAGGCAGCUGACGUUUCUGAGGCCACUGUAACUGUGUACUCGAGAGGUACUGCGGUCACUUGGUUAUCCCGAAGAUUCUCGAGGACAAAUCUGCACAAGCAGAAUCUAGGGACUCCUCUGAACUGCUUCAUAUAACAUAGAUCACUUUCCUACAUGCCAUCUGGUCCCAUGGUUCUGAACGGAGGGCAGUUGUGUCUCUGUCGCACACAGCAUGCCCUAGCAAAGGAAGCCCCAGCCCACAACGUCAGCGGGAGCUCAGAUGGAACUUGGUCCAGUGUGAUGCCUACACACUCGGGAAGCAAAGCUAAGCCUCGUUGUUUAGCAUGCAGCAGGCACUCUUCUGAGUGCUGCACUGGCCUCGUUCACUCAGCACCAUGCUAGGGGCUGGCGAGUCUCCUCAGUGCGCCCCCUGAGGUGAAGUGACAGUGAGGGAGGGCUGCCCUUGGACACAGGAGGAGCUCGAGCCUGACAGCCACAUAGAGCACGGGGGCCAGCGCUUCGCCCACGUCAGGGCUCCCUGACUUGUGGCAGGGUUGAGAAACCCCACACCAAUGCCCCACAGCCCUGGGGGGCCGUGCUGCACCCAAACUACAGCUGACAGCUGCUACACGGAGGGAGGAGGUGCCGCACAGCGCCUUGAGGACCUGGGCAGCAGGCUGGGGCCUGAGCUGGGGCCACCAGGCAGGGCCUGCAGGUGGGGUGGAAAGGGGGCUGUAGGAGCAAGAGGAAGCUCAGGGCCCAGCAUCAGACACCAAGUGGUUAGCUCCAGGGAGCGGCCACACUCGAGAUUGCGGGAGAAGAGCCUCCGGGUGACUCUGGGUGACUUGCUCCUGGGCCAGAACCCUGCACAGGGUCUCCGGCCCGGACAGGGGUCCCAGGACUUGCUCCAGGGUGGGAGGCGGCCCAGUCCGAUGUGCUGCUGCAGGGGCAGCUGUGUCUAGCAAAGAGGAAGCAAAGCAGUCGGCCAGUUCCCACAGGGGGCACUUUGGCACCCCUGAAGAUCCAAAGGCUGGGAGAUCGUGGAUCCAAAGCUCUUCCCGAGGCUGAUAACUCUGGAACCGCCUGCAGGGCUCCAUCUCCACAGGUUUGGGGAGGGCCCAGAAAUGCUCAAGGAAUACUGAGGCUGUCGCUCCAGGGGCCACACUUUGAGAACCAUCUCAGCUCAGUCAGGUGACCCCACAUCUCAGAGACCGUGAGGGCAUCGUGAGUUUUCCCAGGUUCUUCAGAUACAGUGCUCAACAGGAGAGAGUGUUCGGAGGCAAACUCACCAAGCCGCCACUCAAGUUACACUAGAGGAGGAGGCAAACUUCACCCCAGCAUCCAAUACAAGGGAUCUGGGGCCCGUCGUCUGUUUGAAUCCACUCACACCCCUCCCUGCCUCCAGCACUGGGGAUGGCUGGGAGUAGAGCCGACAAAAUUUAUGAUGCAUGGGACGACAGCUAUUAGCUGGACUUGAGAAGUGCGCAAACCCCUCUGACUGUGUGAGAGCUGCUAGACUCAUGAAUUUCAGGUCAUUCUGGAAUUUUCUGCUGACGCCCUGAUCCCAAAUUUGAUUUGCCCACAUAAAUCUCUUAGUUGCUCCUGGAGCCCGAGUCUGAACUCAAACCGGCAGCCUGGCAUGGGCAGCAGACAGUACCCACUUAGCUAGGGUGGCACCCCACACAUCCUCAGAGCUCCCUCUUCACAGUGUGACUUAACUGCCCCACGCUUGGCCCCGUGGGCUGGCAUAAAAGUCCAGCUUUCAGUCAAGAAAGGAAACCUGCGACAUUUACUCCAAGACACAUAUGGAGUAAAUAUGGAUGGUAAAGAGGUGCUAUUUUUACAGUCGCUUUUCUGACCAUCCGUUUCACAGCGGAAUUAUUCACAGGUCUC